rnacentral:rRNA from 1 species
AGGGAUCAUUACCGAGUUUACAACUCCCAAACCCAUGUGAACAUACCUACUGUUGCUUCGGCGGGAUUGCCCCGGGCGCCUCGUGUGCCCCGGAUCAGGCGCCCGCCUAGGAAACUUAAUUCUUGUUUUAUUUUGGAAUCUUCUGAGUAGUUUUUACAAAUAAAUAAAAACUUUCAACAACGGAUCUCUUGGUUCUGGCAUCGAUGAAGAACGCAGCGAAAUGCGAUAAGUAAUGUGAAUUGCAGAAUUCAGUGAAUCAUCGAAUCUUUGAACGCACAUUGCGCCCGCCAGUAUUCUGGCGGGCAUGCCUGUCUGAGCGUCAUUUCAACCCUCAUGCCCCUAGGGCGUGGUGUUGGGGAUCGGCCAAAGCCCGCGAGGGACGGCCGGCCCCUAAAUCUAGUGGCGGACCCGUCGUGGCCUCCUCUGCGAAGUAGUGAUAUUCCGCAUCGGAGAGCGACGAGCCCCUGCCGUUAAACCCCCAACUUUCCAAGGUUGACCUCAGAUCAGGUAGGAAUACCCG